rnacentral:rRNA from 1 species
AGUGAACGCUGGCGGUAGGCCUAGCACAUGCAAGUCGAACGGCAGCACAGUAAGAGCUUGCUCUUACGGGUGGCGAGUGGCGGACGAGUGAGGAAUACAUCGGAAUCUACUUUUUCGUGGGGGAUAACGUAGGGAAACUUACGCUAAUACCGCAUACGACCUACGGGUGAAAGCAGGGGAUCUUCGGACCUUGCGCGAUUGAAUGAGCCGAUGUCGGAUUAGCUAGUUGGCGGGGUAAAGGCCCACCAAGGCGACGAUCCGUAGCUGGUCUGAGAGGAUGAUCAGCCACACUGGAACUGAGACACGGUCCAGACUCCUACGGGAGGCAGCAGUGGGGAAUAUUGGACAAUGGGCGCAAGCCUGAUCCAGCCAUACCGCGUGGGUGAAGAAGGCCUUCGGGUUGUAAAGCCCUUUUGUUGGGAAAGAAAAGCAGCAGGUUAAUACCCCGCUGUUCUGACGGUACCCAAAGAAUAAGCACCGGCUAACUUCGUG